rnacentral:rRNA from 2 species
AUUGGUGCUUGCAUCAUGAUUUACAUUUGAGUGAGUGGCGAACUGGUGAGUAACACGUGGGAAACCUGCCCAGAAGCGGGGGAUAACACCUGGAAACAGAUGCUAAUACCGCAUAACAACUUGGACCGCAGGGUCCGAGUUUGAAAGAUGGCUUCGGCUAUCACUUUUGGAUGGUCCCGCGGCGUAUUAGCUAGAUGGUGGGGUAACGGCUCACCAUGGCAAUGAUACGUAGCCGACCUGAGAGGGUAAUCGGCCACAUUGGGACUGAGACACGGCCCAAACUCCUACGGGAGGCAGCAGUAGGGAAUCUUCCACAAUGGACGAAAGUCUGAUGGAGCAACGCCGCGUGAGUGAAGAAGGGUUUCGGCUCGUAAAACUCUGUUGUUAAAGAAGAACAUAUCUGAGAGUAACUGUUCAGGUAUUGACGGUAUUUAACCAGAAAGCCACGGCUAACUACGUGCCAGCAGCCGCGGUAAUACGUAGGUGGCAAGCGUUGUCCGGAUUUAUUGGGCGUAAAGCGAGCGCAGGCGGUUUUUUAAGUCUGAUGUGAAAGCCUUCGGCUCAACCGAAGAAGUGCAUCGGAAACUGGGAAACUUGAGUGCAGAAGAGGACAGUGGAACUCCAUGUGUAGCGGUGAAAUGCGUAGAUAUAUGGAAGAACACCAGUGGCGAAGGCGGCUGUCUGGUCUGUAACUGACGCUGAGGCUCGAAAGUAUGGGUAGCAAACAGGAUUAGAUACCCUGGUAGUCCAUACCGUAAACGAUGAAUGCUAAGUGUUGGAGGGUUUCCGCCCUUCAGUGCUGCAGCUAACGCA